rnacentral:rRNA from 1 species
CCUACGGGUGGCAGCAGUGGGGAAUAUUGCUCAAUGGGCGAAACCCUGAUGCAGCGACGCCGCGUGAGUGAAGAAGUAUCUCGGUAUGUUAAGCUUCUUCUGCAGGGAAGAAAAUGACGGUACGUGUUCAAGAAGCCCCGGCUAACUACGUGCCAGCAGCCGCGGCAAUAUGGAGGGAGCCAGCGUUAUACGGAUUUACCGGGGGUAAAGGGAGCGUAGACGGCAGCACAAGUCAGGAGUGAAAGGCCGGGGCUUAACCCCGGAACUGCUUUGGAAACUGUGCAGCUAGAGUGCAGGAGAGGUAGGUGGAAUUCGUAGUGUAGCGGUGAAAUGCGUAGAUAUUAGGAAGAACACCAGUGGCGAAGGCGGCUUACUGGACUGUAACUGACGUUGAGGCUCGAAAGCGUGGGGAGCAAACAGGAUUAGAUACCCCUGUAGUC